CGGCGGACGGGUGAGUAACGCGUGGGUAACCUGCCUCAUACAGGGGGAUAACAGUUGGAAACGGCUGCUAAUACCGCAUAAGCGCACAGUACCGCAUGGUACGGUGUGAAAAACUCCGGUGGUAUGAGAUGGACCCGCGUCUGAUUAGCUGGUUGGCGGGGUAACGGCCUACCAAGGCGACGAUCAGUAGCCGACCUGAGAGGGUGACCGGCCACAUUGGGACUGAGACACGGCCCAG
rnacentral:rRNA from 1 species